AUCCUUUAACAAGGAUCCAUUGGAGGGCAAGUCUGGUGCCAGCAGCCGCGGUAAUUCCAGCUCCAAUAGCGUAUAUUAAAGUUGUUGCGGUUAAAAAGCUCGUAGUUGGUUCUGCGUGCCGCGCUGUCGGUUCGCCGCCUGUCGGUGUAACUGGCAUGUCGCGGCAUGUCCUGUCGGUGGUGAACGGGGUCCACGGUGCUGCAUAGGCUUUACAGCCGAUGUUAGCGUCGUGUGUAUUUCCGUUGGCCGAUCUCUCCUACUCCGGUGCUCUUAAACGAGUGUCGAGGUAGGCCGACACGUUCACUUUGAACAAAUUAGAGUGCUUAAAGCAGGCUGAAAUAUCUGCCUGAAUAGUGGUGCAUGGAAUGAUAAAACAGGACCUCAGUUCUAUUUUGUUGGUUUUAGGAAUAUGAGGUAAUGAUCAAUGUGGACUGGCGGGGGCAUUCGUAUUGCGACGUUAGAGGUGAAAUUCUUGGAUCGUCGCAAGACGCACUAGAGCGAAAGCAUUUGCCAAGUAUGUCUUAAUUGAUCAAGAACGAAAGUUAGAGGUUCGAAGGCGAUCAGAUACCGCCCUAGUUCUAACCAUAAACGAUGCCAGCCAGCGAUCCGCCGAUGUUCCUUUAAUGACUCGGCGGGGAGCUUCUACCCGGGAAACCAAAGCUUUUGGGUUCCGGGGGAAGUAUGGUUGCAAAGCUGAAACUUAAAGGAA
rnacentral:rRNA from 1 species